rnacentral:misc_RNA from 1 species
ACCUGUCCUUUUAACCAGAUAUCAAUAUAAUUACAUACAUAUAGAACACGAACUACAUAGAAAACAGAAAAUUGUUAUCAUAUGAUUUCAUACAUUUCUUAAUUGUAUGAAAAAGUUGAAAUGACAUUUUGAGACACAUUCAUCAAGUACUUCUCAAAAGUUGUGCUGCAUUCACUAAUAAUUUGCAUGUCCAGUCCAGUCCACAUUGACCAUACAGUAACAGCAUAGUCAAGACGAAAUUCUGGGAAACUUCCUCAUGAGCAGAGUGGAAUCCUAUUAGCAUCCAAGCAUUAGUAUCAUGUACUAAAGGAAAAAAUUAUUUGCAUGAUUACUGCUUCGAAAAAUUGUAUAUUGGGUCCUCUACGUCCUUAAAGCUCCAAUUCUGCUGGGUACUUGUACUAUCAGCAGUAGAUACGUGUAAGACCUUUUUAUGGUAUUUGUAGAGGGUUCUACGGUGGCCAAUACUUAUAUACGUGAUUCCUGCAGCUUGGAUUAGCUGAUAUAGACGUGCCUCAUUGGCUUCAUCAAGAGCACUAGUAGACUCAUCCAACAGAGCCAAAGUUGGUUUUGAAAGCAAUAAGCGGCCAAAGGCAAGGCGCUGUUGCUCGCCAAGGGAUAGAACGCUCGACCACUCAUGUGUUGAAUCUAGGCCGUCAAAACGAGAUAACAAGUGUCCAAGGGAUACAUCAUUGAGAACUUGUAGUAGAUCCUCUGAUGUAGGCUUCUUUGAUCUAUCAUUCACACACCUUGCAUCCCGUGCACGCAUCAAGAAUGGCAAAGAAUCAGUUUGUUUAGCAUCAUCUGACAAGUUAUCUGAAUCUUCGGUCCAUGUAGGAUACAACAACUGUUGUCGAAGGGUUCCCAAAACCAUAUAUGGUUUUUGAGGAAGAAAAAUUACACCUUCGGAAUUUCUACGUCCUGCGGAAUCCCCUAUGGUCUCAUUAGUUGAAGCCACUUGAUGAGAAACUACAUCUGGAGAGUGCAGCAUUUCCAGGUCUCCUCUGGGUCGGACAUAAACUGUAAUUGCUCCAUUCCCGAAACUCCAAAGACCAGCUAUCGCUCUCAGCAAUGAAGUUUUACCACUUCCACUUGGUCCUGUAACCAGCAAGUGAUCCUUCUCAAAUAUCUCAAAAGACAAGUCCUUAAUUAGAGUUGCUUCACUUGGUGUCUGUACAGUCAAGUGUUCAACAUGAAGUAAUUUUACACGAUUGGAAAGAGGCAUAGAUCCAUUCGAGUGUAGCCCAUUGGAAGAACUUAUUAAGCAAAAGUUAAGCUGGAUCUUUUCGUUGGAGUCUUGAUCACCUUUUUUGCUGUUGCUAUCCAAAACAUCAUCAAAUUCACCUAGUCGGUCAAUGACGGCUGAAAAGGCACUUAAAGCCUGAAACUGAUAGACAAUGAGAGAGAAAUCACCAAGAAUAUGAUUAAAAGCGGACACGGAUUGAUUAAUAACCCCAAACUCGAUUUUUCCAGAGAAGUACAUAGGUGCAACAACUGCAGCAGGAAGAAUUUGAAUAAGAUAGCGGUAGCCACUGGUG